CAGUGGCGAACGGGUGAGUAACACGUGGGCAAUCUGCCCUGCACUCUGGGACAAGCCCUGGAAACGGGGUCUAAUACCGGAUAAUAUCUUUUCCCGCAUGGGGGAGGGUUAAAAGCUCCGGCGGUGCAGGAUGAGCCCGCGGCCUAUCAGCUUGUUGGUGGGGUAAUGGCCUACCAAGGCGACGACGGGUAGCCGGCCUGAGAGGGCGACCGGCCACACUGGGACUGAGACACGGCCCAGACUCCUACGGGAGGCAGCAGUGGGGAAUAUUGCACAAUGGGCGAAAGCCUGAUGCAGCGACGCCGCGUGAGGGAUGACGGCCUUCGGGUUGUAAACCUCUUUCAGCAGGGAAGAAGCGCAAGUGACGGUACCUGCAGAAGAAGCACCGGCUAACUACGUGCCAGCAGCCGCGGUAAUACGUAGGGUGCGAGCGUUGUCCGGAAUUAUUGGGCGUAAAGAGCUCGUAGGCGGUCUGUCGCGUCGGAUGUGAAAGCCCGGGGCUUAACCCCGGGUCUGCAUUCGAUACGGGCAGACUAGAGUGUGGUAGGGGAGAUCGGAAUUCCUGGUGUAGCGGUGAAAUGCGCAGAUAUCAGGAGGAACACCGGUGGCGAAGGCGGAUCUCUGGGCCAUUAC
rnacentral:rRNA from 1 species